rnacentral:rRNA from 1 species
AACCUGGUUGAUCCUGCCAGUAGUCAUAUGCUUGUCUCAAAGACUAAGCCAUGCAUGUCUAAGUAUAAAUGGUAUACAGUAAAACUGCGAAUGGCUCAUUAAAACAGUUAUAGUUUAUUUGGUAAUCGAAUUUACAUGGAUAACCGUGGUAAUUCUAGAGCUAAUACAUACUGUAAAGCCCGACUUCUCGGAAGGGCCGUGUUUAUUAGAUAACAGACCAACAGCUUCGGCUAUUGUGGUGAAUCAUAGUAACUAAUCGGAUCGCAUGGGCUAGUCCCGCGACAAACCAUUCAAGUUUCUGCCCCAUCAGCUUUCGACGGUAGUGUAUUGGACUACCGUGGCUUUUACGGGUAACGGAGGAUUAGGGUUCGAUUCCGGAGAGGGAGCCUGAGAAACGGCUACCACAUCUAAGGAAGGCAGCAGGCGCGUAAAUUACCCAAUUCUGAUUCAGAGAGGUAGUGACAAGAAAUAACGGGUCGGGACUUUGUCCCGGGACUGCAAUGAGAUGAACUUAUACCCCCUUUUCGAGUAACCAUUGGAGGGCAAGUCUGGUGCCAGCAGCCGCGGUAAUUCCAGCUCCAAUAGCGUAUAUUAAAGUUGAUGCAGU